ACGGAAGGCAGCAGUGGGGAAUAUUGGGCAAUGGGCGAAAGCCUGACCCAGCAACGCCGCGUGAAGGAUGAAGGUCUUCGGAUUGUAAACUUCUUUGAUCAGGGACGAAACAAAUGACGGUACCUGAAGAACAAGCCACGGCUAACUACGUGCCAGCAGCCGCGGUAAUACGUAGGUGGCGAGCGUUAUCCGGAUUUACUGGGUGUAAAGGGCGUGUAGGCGGUUUUACAAGUCAGAAGUGAAAUUCCCGGGCUUAACUCGGGCGCUGCUUCUGAAACUGUAGAACUUGAGUACUGGAGAGGAUAGUGGAAUUCCUAGUGUAGCGGUAAAAUGCGCAGAUAUUAGGAGGAACACCAGUGGCGAAGGCGGCUAUCUGGACAGUAACUGACGCUGAGGCGCGAAAGCGUGGGGAGCAAACAGGAUUAGAUACCCUGGUA
rnacentral:rRNA from 1 species